rnacentral:rRNA from 1 species
AUGUUUCGUUCAGCCGGUAAAAGUGAACUAUUGGUUAGCAGGGGUGUUUCAUCUUUGUUUGAUCAAAACUGCACAUUACCAUAUAAUGCACCAGAAUUGAGUGGGGUUGAGGCCGGAGACUUGGAGCUCAUCCAGCACCGAGAGGGUGCGGCCAGGAUGAAGCUCCGUGGUGUGGGAGCCCUUGGCGCGGUCGAUCUUGGCAUCCGUAGGACCGCUGGGUAUCCAGCUUGCUGUUGCUCGGCAUGCGCGGAGAGUUCAGUGUUGCCCGCCACCGCUGCGUCCCUGGCCACCCCGAUCAAGUCCUUGAGAAACCUUCCCUUGGUGUCCAACAACCUAGUUAUCUCCGCGUCCGUGACCACUCUUGCAUCCCUAGCCGCGUGGAAAUUGAUCCCCACUCCCUGCAGGUGGCCUCAGCCAUUUAGCCGAGCAUUCUGCAUGAGCCCACUAGCUCCAUUCGCAUCAAGUCGAGCGCACGGCGAACCAGAGUUUGGGCUCACCAGCCAGAUUGGUCGGCACCAGGUCGAGCUAACACGUUGUGGACUGGGGACCAUAACGUUGCUGUUGGCGCCGAGCCGGGCGGGCGACAUGACAAUGGGCGUUGGGGUACUCCCACGUGAUGCGCGUGAGCAGGGGGAUGUCGACAACAGCGAGCAUCAGGUUGGCCAUGGUCUCCACAGAGAGCAUCCUUGUCUCCCCGGGCCGGCGGGCUGCACUACGGCGUAUUGUGGUGCAAUAGGCGUUCCCCGCCUCCGCGGUGCCCUCGAGCCCGAGGGGGUUGAACUGGCGGCCGUAGAAAUACAUGUCUUCAACCGCGAAGAGCGGCCGCAUUGUGUCUCCUCCAUCACCGACAAGGUCUCGGACGCCUGGAUAGUCAUGUUCACACCGCCCGUGCACGCCCAACUCGUGGCAACGCCUCGUACUAGGCCUCCUGCUUUAAGCUGUGCCCCCGCCGCCGAUGAUGACGUGCCUCUCGCUUUGCCGUCCGCCGCGGGCAGGUGGUACAGGCCCGCCCUAGUCUGCUGCGGCCACGCCCUGCUAGUGCGGGUCACGGCAGCGGCGGCGCAUGUUGCCGUCGAGGUGCUGCUGCUGCCGAGCGUGCAGGCGCUUUCAUGGGCAGCCCGACUGGUGCUACCACUGCAGGUGCUCGUCGCCUGUGCGGGUCAGGUGCCAUCCCAUGCGACGAUUCCAGGCGGCUCAUGCGCGAACACUUCUCCACGGUUGAUUAUGCACACAUACAGAGCCAUUAAAGUGGUCGCUUCGAUUAAGGUCUCGCAGGAUAUAGACGUUCAUCCGACCCAGCCGUAUGUGCUGUCAGGGUGUGGUAGCCAAAUAAAGCUUUGGGACUGGGACCAGGACUGGAACUGCAUACAGACAUUUGAAAAAGAGCACUCAGAUGAUAUUAGGGAACUAAAAUUUAACCCAGUGGGCACCAACAGUUUUGCAAGUGCUUCUAGGGAUUAUACAGUAAAGGUUUGGAGUCUUGAUUCUCCCAAAUCCAAGUAUACUCUCUCUGGACAUUCCAAUUGCGUGCACAGCGUGGAUUUCUUCAAGCGUGAUGGUCAGCAGUAUCUGAUUAGUGUCUCUGGUGAUAAGACUGCCAAGAUAUGGGACUUGCAGAAGAAGGAGUGUGUUCAUACACUCGAACAUGAGUCUAAAGUAAGCACGAUACAACCACGUCUCUCCAUGUCUCGAUACAACCACGGCCGGAUCUCCCUGCUCCGCGGCCUCGGCGCCAUCUGUUCUCUCCCUCCCUCCCGCAAGAAAAAGCAGGAGUGCAACAUGAGCCCCGCAAGUCUCACCGCCAGCAGCCCGUCCCGUCCUCACCGCCAGCAGCCCCGUCCGCAUCCCCGCCAGCUCGCUGCCGCCACCUCCCGCCGAGCUGCCUGCUGGCUGAAGGGCGUGCGUCGUCCUGCCGGUCCACCCGUCCGCUCCUUGGGUCUGUGGCUCCGUGCAGGUGCUGGAGGAGCCCCUGGCCAAGCCUGCGCCCGCAUCCGCGAGGCUCCCCGUGUCGGGUUCUACCAUUACGCCAGUUCUUUGUCCGUGCCCCCGGCUUGCCUCCGCGUCAGCAGCAGCUGCAUCUGCCACUCCGGCUGUGCUACGCACUGGUUCAUCGUCCGCGUCAGCUCCUGCUGUUCCGGCCAUGCUGAGAGCCGGCUCUCCGCCCUAGUCGGCGGUGGCGGUCGCUCCCAUCGUCUCUGCGAUGCGUCUGAGCCACCACUGUUCGUCGACCCUGCAUCCCAGACGACCUCCAUGCUGCUGUCGGCUGCCUUGCCCGGCGACCCCUUUGGCCCGGGCAAUGCGGUGGUGUCCGUGGCUGUGCAGGACAGGGCUCAAUGCUCUGGCAGCUGCCUCCCGAUGCGGUCUGCAGCUUGUCCCGAUCGCUCCACUCGCGCCGCUCCAGUUGCCGCCCACUGUCGCCGGUCUGUCAUGCACCGUCCCGGUGGCCUCUCUUCUGCGCGCCAGCAGCUCAUGGGGAAAUGUUGGGAGAUUGGCACCUCGUCACUAGGCGCCGCCGUUCGCCAUCUACAAAGGCCUUCUGUUGGCCCGCUUCCAUUGCCCGGCCUGCUCCUCCGGCGUGGCUCAGGGAUCGAUGCUUUCAUUGUCUCUCCAAAGAUCGAGAUCCACUGCGGCUACGCCUCGUCUCGACAACGGCAAGAGGAGAUCCCCCUGGGUAAUCUUCACGGCAUGGGGACGUCUGUUGAGUGCUCCAUAUUUCCCAGGCUGAAGACAAAGCUUGAGGUCAGUAUGCUUGGGUUCAGUAUUCGUGGUUUCGCAUGUUUGACGGGGUCAGAAAGGGUUGCAGUUGCAGACUCAUAUGGAGUGUCCGUGAUGGAAAUUGGUGAUCAAGGAGGACAAGGUGGUAGUGAAGGCAGCAGCAACGAGAAUUCCAUAUCAGCUAUAGAUUUUUAG